rnacentral:rRNA from 1 species
AUUGAACGCUGGCGGAAUGCUUUACACAUGCAAGUCGAACGGUAGAGGGGGCAACCCCUCGAGAGUGGCGAACGGGUGAGUAAUAUAACGGAACGUGCCCAGUCGUGGGGGAUAACGUAGCGAAAGUUACGCUAAUACCGCAUACGAGCUAAGGAUGAAAGCGGGGGAUCGCAAGACCUCGCGCGAUUGGAGAGGCCGAUAUCAGAUUAGGUAGUUGGUGGGGUAAAGGCUCACCAAGCCAACGAUCUGUAGCUGGUCUGAGAGGACGACCAGCCACACUGGAACUGAGACACGGUCCAGACUCCUACGGGAGGCAGCAGUGGGGAAUUUUGGACAAUGGACGCAAGUCUGAUCCAGCCAUUCCGCGUGCAGGAUGAAGGCCCUCGGGUUGUAAACUGCUUUUGUACGGAACGAAAAGGUCUCUCUUAAUACGGGGGACUCAUGACGGUACCGUAAGAAUAAGCACCGGCUAACUACGUGCCAGCCGCCGCCGUAA